UACGAAGGGGGCUAGCGUUGCUCGGAAUCACUGGGCGUAAAGGGUGCGUAGGCGGGUCUUUAAGUCAGGGGUGAAAUCCUGGAGCUCAACUCCAGAACUGCCUUUGAUACUGAGGACCUUGAGUACGGGAGAGGUGAGUGGAACUGCGAGUGUAGAGGUGAAAUUCGUAGAUAUUCGCAAGAACACCAGUGGCGAAGGCGGCUCACUGGCCCGUAACUGACGCUGAGGCACGAAAGCGUGGGGAGCAAACAGG
rnacentral:rRNA from 1 species